rnacentral:rRNA from 1 species
UACUCGAGUGGCGAACGGGUGAGUAACACGUGGGUGAUCUGCCCUGCACUUCGGGAUAAGCCUGGGAAACUGGGUCUAAUACCGGAUAGGAGCCAUUUUUAGUGUGAUGGUUGGAAAGUUUUUUCGGUGUAGGAUGAGCUCGCGGCCUAUCAGCUUGUUGGUGGGGUAAUGGCCUACCGAGGCGGCGACGGGUAGCCGGCCUGAGAGGGUGGACGGCCACAUUGGGACUGAGAUACGGCCCAG